GCUAGAUGAUGAAUGGCAGUAGCCACUGAGGCAAGGUGGGUAUAGGGGGAUGGGGUUCCUAGUGGAAGGGGAGACCCAGAGAGUGGGUGCACUGCUGUGGAACAGCACCCCAAGAUAAGGGGCACCGGGGUCCAGGAGGCACGUGAGGCCUUAAGUGCUACAGGUGGUGGAGCUUCACAGAAAGCAGAUACCAGUAGGAAGACACCAGCCAGCAGGAGGCGCUCUGAGGCUGGAAUUGAGCUAAUUCCGACAACCAGCAGGAGGUGCCAUGCCAGUGAGUCUGCUCUGCUACACAGCCAUGCUCUCGUUUUGAUGCUAUAUUCACUCUGUAUCUAUGCUAUGUCUCCAUUUUAGCUGAUGAGCUCUCUCUGAAGAUGUGCUUCCCCACAUCCAGACCCUAGAUCUGAAGAUGUCUGAAGGAUACAGACUAAACUGAACCGUGCCAUCAAACAUCAAGAAGUUACAGUUUAUUGGCACUUCAUCUUCUUUGGAACCUUCUCAAGUGAAAAAAAAAAGUAUAAUGAAAGUUCUCAUGGUAUUUUAAAAGGCAGGAAAAGAAAUAUCAUGUAAUAUUAUUUUUACCACAUAAUUAAGAGACGAAGGAGCCAAGGAAGGAAAAUUAAAAGAGGGAGUGUCAUGUAUAUGUGGUCCAACGAAUAGGGCACUGGAGUGGGAGACCUGAGUGCCAUUCCUGGCUCUGCGACUGAGCUGCUGUGUGACUUCGGACAAGUCACUUUGCUUUUGUUUUCCUGCCAGCCUCUCUCAUCUUGUAGACAAAGUGGAACUUGGACUGUAAGUUGGUCAGGGCAGGGGUGCUUUCUUUGCACCUGUACAGUGCCUAGCACAAUAGGACUCCAAUCUUGGCUGGUGCAUCCAGGCACUACUGCAGUUGAAAUACUGAACACUAAAAAAGGACAGAGGGUGAAGUAGUAGCUGAUCCAAAAUUGAAAUUACAUUAGUAGAAUGAGAAGAGAUGAGAAAAGGGAAGAAAAGGAUGUCAAAAAAAUGUUCCAAAAGAAGAAAACUGAGAGGGGCAACACAGCUAGCAUUAAACAAAGUAAGUGGAGUAAAGGCAGAGCCUA
rnacentral:lncRNA from 1 species